GACGAACGCUGGCGGCGUGCCUAAUACAUGCAAGUAGAACGCACAGUUUAUACCGUAGCUUGCUACACCAUAGACUGUGAGUUGCGAAUGGGUGAGUAACGCGUAGGUAACCUGCCUGGUAGCGGGGGAUAACUAUUGGAAACGAUAGCUAAUACCGCAUAAUAUUAAUUAUUGCAUGAUAAUUAAUUGAAAGGUGCAAUUGCACCACUACCAGAUGGACCUGCGUUGUAUUAGCUAGUAGGUGAGGUAACGGCUCACCUAGGCGACGAUACAUAGCCGACCUGAGAGGGUGAUAGGCCACACUGGGACUGAGACACGGCCCAGACUCCUACGGGAGGCAGCAGUAGGGAAUCUUCGGCAAUGGACGAAAGUCUGACCGAGCAACGCCGCGUGAGUGAAGAAGGUUUUCGGAUCGUAAAGCUCUGUUGUAAGAGAAGAACGGGUGUGAGAGUGGAAAGUUCACACUGUGACGGUAGCUUACCAGAAAGGGACGGCUAACUACGUG
rnacentral:rRNA from 1 species